GCCAUAUUCUACUUAUUUGGCUCUUUAAAAACUUCAUGCUGAAUUGGAUGUAACAGUGUGUGCACAUUUGUGUUGGCAUCACUGCAGCUAAAGCGCCUGCUCAAGCUUUGGAGCUACUCACAAUUACAUUUACUCAUUUAGACGGGUAGAUGCUUUUAUCCACAGCGACUUACAAGUGAGGGACAACACCAAAGGUUCAGCACAGAGGGAGACCUUGAAAAGACGUCCCAGAGAUGCAAACUUGCUCCGACGACGGAUGGGUGGAGUGUGGGUACCAGAGACCAAGGACUCAGAACGCAUGGCGGCCAGCCUCUCUACUUCCUCAGCUGUAAGGAAAAAAGAAAAGAAAAAAAAAACGGUCUCGUUUAGGUGAAAAUGCAGAGGAGGUGAUAUUCUGGUAAUCAUGCAGGAGAGCUAGCGGUGAAUGCAGCAGACACUUUUGCUUACAAGUUUCCAAGCAGCAAGAAUCUGUGCCAAGUGGCCUCCUGAAUUCCCUAGUAACUGGAUGGGGUUGGGAGAGGAUAAACAAACCUGCAUAUCAGAUAGCAUUAUGCAAGAUACGCUCCGAGUACAGUUUGAGGCUGCAUCACACCGAGUGGUUUGCAUUGGCUUGCCAAAAAACACUAAACAGACUGAUAAGCACCUCAUUAAGGGGGAAUCUUUCUACUUUUCAUGAAAUAUUCACAAGGCCCAGCCUUUUAGACUUUUACAUACCAUUGGAUAUCAAAAGCAAAAAAUGUUAAGCAUUUUGUUCUAAGAAACUCUUACAUGAAAAAGUGAAUACAUGAUUUGUUUGAAAUAUACUGCAGUCCUAGGCUACAAACAGCCUGGGCACAUACAAAACUCUUGCAAAAGGGGCCUAUGUGAUCAGAAAACAAAAUCAAAAAGGUGUCAGCUCCAGGCGGAUGAUCAUAAAAAAGGUAUUCAAAACAGAAAUGUCUGACUCAGACUCACUAGCUUUAAAACAUCUCUUUUUUUAGUUAAAAAAAAA